CUAGCAAGUCAACCCUUACAAAAAGAAUUUAGCAAGACCCCCCGAAACCAGACGAGCUACCCUAGGGCAGUGUAUGAACGAACCCUCCUCUGUAGCAAAAGAGCGGGAAGACCCUGAGGUAGAGGCAAUAAACCUAACGAGCCUGGAUAUAGCUGGUUGCUUGAGAAAGAAUUUAAGUUCAGAUAAAAGCAAUUAUACCAAUAAGGAAAAUAUAAGCCUUUUAAUAUAAUCAAUCGGGUUACAACUCGAUUAAUAAGGGACACAACCCAAAUAAAUGAAUAAAGAUAUUUUGAAGAAAAUGAGCCUAGUAGGCCUAAAAGCAGCCACCAAAACAGCGUCAAAGCUUAACUUAAACUACAUCUAUAAUUUCAAUAAAAAAUCUUAUUUCAACAAAAUAAUCAAGCUAAUCUAUAUAUAGAUAAACUACUACUAGAAUGAGUAAUAAGGAUAUAUCCUCUACAAUACAAGUGUAAAUCAGAACGAACAACCACUGAUAAUUAAUGAAUAUAUUUACCAAAACAAGAACUUAUAACUAAUAUCAUUAACCCGACACAGGAGUAUUUAAGAAAGAUUUAAAGCUUAGAAAGGAACUCGGCAAAC
rnacentral:rRNA from 1 species